CAAGUGGUAUUAGGGUGACCACAUGUCCCGAUUUUAUAGGGACAGUCCUGAUAUUUGGGGCUUUGGCUUAUAUAGGCGCUUAUUACCCCCCACCACCCUCUUUCCCAAUUUUUCACACUUGCUGUCUGGUCACC